CGAAGGAGAAGGNANUUGCUUGCNAUUACUGGAGACUGGCGAANGGGUGAGUAACGCGUANACNACCUGCCUUUAGCUGGGGGAUAACACUGCGAAAGUGGUGCUAAUACCGCGUAAUGCAGCGGGGCCGCAUGGCCACAGUUGUUAAAGCCUUCGGGCGGCUAGAGAUGGGUCUGCGUGCUAUUAGCUAGUUGGUAGGGUAAUGGCCUACCAAGGCGAUGAUAGCUAGGGGGUCUGANAGGAUGAUCCCCCACACUGGGACUGAGACACGGCCCANACCUCUACGGAGGGCAGCAGUGAGGAAUCUUGCGCAAUGGGCGAAAGCCUGACGCANCCACGCCGCGUGUCGGAAGACGGCCCUAUGGGUUGUAAACGACUUUUGUCAGGGAAGAAAUGGAGGGUUUCGAUCCUCUUUGACGGUACCUGGUGAAUAAGCACCGGCUAACUCCGUGCCAGCAGCCGCGGUAAUACGGAGGGUGCAAGCGUUGUCCGGAAUCAUUGGGUGUAAAGGGUGCGUAGGCGGAUGUUUAAGUCUGAGGUGAAAUCUUGCCGCUUAACGGUAAAAUGGCCUUGGAUACUGGGCAUCUUGAGUGUAGAAGAGGCAGGUGGAAUUCGUAGUGUAGCGGUGAAAUGCAUAGAUAUUACGAAGAACAUCAGUGGCGAAGGCGGCCUGCUGGUCUACAACUGACGCUGANGCACGAAAGCGUGGGGAGCGAACAGGAUUAGAUACCCUGGUAGUCCACGCCGUAAACGAUGCAUACUAGGUGUUGGCCCUUUUGGGUCAGUGCUGCAGUUAACGCAUUAAGUAUGCCACCUGGGGAGUACGUCGGCAACNAUGA
rnacentral:rRNA from 1 species